UUCAUUUUAAAGAAAAUACCCCUCGUGGGUGACGAAUUACAUUACACAUAAAUAUUUUACGAGCGCUGACUUACCCCUCUCGAUGUUUUGACAGUUUGUCUGUUUGUUUUUCUCCCUCACCUUCCCUCUCAGCGUCGCCGUCGAUGAAUCGAUGAUGACUUUCCGAUUCGGUCGUGAAAGAAUUUUGGUGGGCCAGUCCGUUUGUUUCGUGAAAUGCGUUGGGCAGUGAAAAAAAAACGCGAAGGUAUGGAAACAUCGAAAACCGACCAGCCAAUACUCCGGACGGUGAAAUUCGCGAAUUCAGAUGUGCAUGUGAUGGAUAAAAAUUCAGCCGUACGACCAAUGGCUCCAAACUGGCAUAUCAAUAAUAUGCGCCUUGCGAAACUUGUCGCAGUACACGGUUCCAGAUGGUUCCAGUGCAGACGGUGGACCGCUACCAAACAAUUCAAACAACAACAAUGUCGUCGGCGUGCGUACAGCCGCUUUUACUGAUUCCUGCGAUCGACGACUCCUGGACGGGCUCGAAGGGUGAAUUCGAGAGCAAAGUGGUAAAUAUGGAGUCUAACUGAUGAGUAAAACGCAGCCGGUGCGACCAAGGUGCUCUGUGCUGUAGAAUGUAUACCUACGUGCCCAAACUUGCGCAUGGCUUAGCUGAUUCAAAUGAAUCGAAAUAAUUCUUUUUAGUUUUGUGUGGCGAGCUUUUGGACAUCUCCUUUGGAAAAAUAUAUAACCGUGCGAUCGAGGGCUGCCAUAGUUCAACACCAAUUUUUCUUCGAAACACAAUCUGCUCUUCGAUGACAUCCAACAGUGCCGAGCUGCUUAUUUGUUAUCAGGCAGAGAGGACGGAGGAAGCUUUCUCGAACCAUUUAUACGUAUCCGGAAAAUGACGUUUUUUGGAGUUCAAAACAACUAGCAACUGUGAUUGAUUGCAAUCAAAUGCACCGGAAACCGUUUCCACUGAGAAAAACUACGAUGGAGCAGUUUUUCUGAGCUUUCCUACUCAUGAAGAUUAAGAAGGUAAUGGUAUCAUCAACAUCAACAAUAAGCGUACCCGUUUUUAAAUCUACAGGAUUCUCUCUAGGAAAAAUCUCUAGGAUUUCCUUUGAAUUUCUUAAAGGAUUCCAUUUGGAUUCCCGAAAGUGUUCCCUUUGGAAUUCUUAUAGAAAUUCUCUUCGAAAUACUCCCCCUUCGAAAUCUUGGAAGCAUUCAUUUCGGAAUCCAAGAAAGUUUCUUUCGAAAUCCCAGAGGGUUUCUCUUUGAAAUUCCUAAAGGAUUUCCUUCGGAAUCCCCAAAUAAUUCAAUUCGGAAUCCCUAAUUACCUAAUUUUCUUUGCUAUAUUAGGGUAUCAUUUUUUUUUAUCCUUGAAAGAUUGUUUAAUAAUCCCAGAAGGAUUCGGGAUCUUCAAAGGACUUAGAGGCCACUCACCUUUCGCCCUGCUAUUUCACUGGAUGGAAAAUUCAUGUUCAAGAUGACACGCUGCCCCUGGAUGAUAUUACCAUUACACAUGAGAGCUGCGGAUGGACCGAUCAGGACAACGAAAUAUAGGCGCACUCAGCUUACCGCGAUUCUACCACUGUAAAUAAUGGUAACCGACUGUAAAAUUAACCAUUCAAUAAUCUUCUGAAUUUCACCAUGCCGCUGUAUAGAGAAAAUACGUUGUGGACAUAAAAUUAAUGUACUUCAUACAAAAUGCAUGCAAUAAAAAAUAGAUAAUGAGAAGAC